rnacentral:rRNA from 1 species
CGCGUAGGCGGACUGUUAAGUCGGGGGUGAAAUCCCGGGGCUCAACCCCGGAACUGCCCUCGAUACUGGCAGUCUUGAGUUCGAGAGAGGUGAGUGGAACUCCGAGUGUAGAGGUGAAAUUCGUAGAUAUUCGGAAGAACACCAGUGGCGAAGGCGGCUCACUGGCUCGAUACUGACGCUGAGGUGCGAAAGUGUGGGGAGCAAACA